AGAGUUUGAUUCUGGCUCAGAUUGAACGCUGGCGGCGUGCUUAACACAUGCAAGUCGAACGUGAAAGUCCUUCGGGACGAGUAAAGUGGCGCACGGGUGAGUAACGCGUGGAUAAUCUACCCUUAAGAUGGGGAUAACGGCUGGAAACGGUCGCUAAUACCGAAUACGCUCCCGAUUUUAUCAUUGGGGGGAAAGAUGGCCUCUGCUUGCAAGCUAUCGCUUAAGGAUGAGUCCGCGUCCCAUUAGCUAGUUGGCGGGGUAACGGCCCACCAAGGCAACGAUGGGUAGCCGGUCUGAGAGGAUGACCGGCCACACUGGAACUGGAACACGGUCCAGACUCCUACGGGAGGCAGCAGUGGGGAAUAUUGCGCAAUGGGCGAAAGCCUGACGCAGCGACGCCGCGUGAGGGAUGAAGGUUCUCGGAUCGUAAACCUCUGUCAGGGGGGAAGAAACCCCCUCGUGUGAAUAAUGCGAGGGCUUGACGGUACCCCCAAAGGAAGCACCGGCUAACUCCGUGCCAGCAGCCGCGGUAAUACGGAGGGUGCAAGCGUUAAUCGGAAUCACUGGGCGUAAAGCGCACGUAGGCGGCUUGGUAAGUCAGGGGUGAAAUCCCACAGCCCAACUGUGGAACUGCCUUUGAUACUGCCAGGCUUGAGUACCGGAGAGGGUGGCGGAAUUCCAGGUGUAGGAGUGAAAUCCGUAGAUAUCUGGAGGAACACCGGUGGCGAAGGCGGCCACCUGGACGGUAACUGACGCUGAGGUGCGAAAGCGUGGGUAGCAAACAGGAUUAGAUACCCUGGUAGUCCACGCUGUAAACGAUGAAUACUAGGUGUCAGGGAGCACAGCU
rnacentral:rRNA from 1 species